rnacentral:rRNA from 1 species
GGUUAAGCGACUAAGCGUACACGGUGGAUGCCCUGGCAGUCAGAGGCGAUGAAGGACGUGCUAAUCUGCGAUAAGCGCCGGUAAGGUGAUAUGAACCGUUAUAACCGGCGAUUUCCGAAUGGGGAAACCCAGUGUGACUCGUCACACUAUCAUUAACUGAAUCCAUAGGUUAAUGAGGCGAACCGGGGGAACUGAAACAUCUAAGUACCCCGAGGAAAAGAAAUCAACCGAGAUUCCCCCAGUAGCGGCGAGCGAACGGGGAGGAGCCCAGAGCCUGAAUCAGCAUGUGUGUUAGUGGAAGCGUCUGGAAAGGCGCGCGAUACAGGGUGACAGCCCCGUACACAAAAGCGCAUGUGCUGUGAGCUCGAUGAGUAGGGCGGGACACGUGGUAUCCUGUCUGAAUAUGGGGGGACCAUCCUCCAAGGCUAAAUACUCCUGACUGACCGAUAGUGAACCAGUACCGUGAGGGAAAGGCGAAAAGAACCCCGGCGAGGGGAGUGAAAAAGAACCUGAAACCGUGUACGUACAAGCAGUGGGAGCACCCUUUGGGGUGUGACUGCGUACCUUUUGUAUAAUGGGUCAGCGACUUAUAUUCUGUAGCAAGGUUAACCGAAUAGGGGAGCCGCAGGGAAACCGAGUCUUAAUUGGGCGUUAAGUUGCAGGGUAUAGACCCGAAACCCGGUGAUCUAGCCAUGGGCAGGUUGAAGGUUGGGUAACACUAACUGGAGGACCGAACCGACUAAUGUUGAAAAAUUAGCGGAUGACCUGUGGCUGGGGGUGAAAGGCCAAUCAAACCGGGAGAUAGCUGGUUCUCCCCGAAAGCUAUUUAGGUAGCGCCUCGUGAACUCAUCUCCGGGGGUAGAGCACUGUUUCGGCUAGGGGGCCAUCCCGGCUUACCAACCCGAUGCAAACUGCGAAUACCGGAGAAUGUUAUCACGGGAGACACACGGCGGGUGCUAACGUCCGUCGUGAAGAGGGAAACAACCCAGACCGCCAGCUAAGGUCCCAAAGUCAUGGUUAAGUGGGAAACGAUGUGGGAAGGCCCAGACAGCCAGGAUGUUGGCUUAGAAGCAGCCAUCAUUUAAAGAAAGCGUAAUAGCUCACUGGUCGAGUCGGCCUGCGCGGAAGAUGUAACGGGGCUAAACCAUGCACCGAAGCUGCGGCAGCGACGCUGAUGCGUUGUUGGGUAGGGGAGCGUUCUGUAAGCCUGCGAAGGUGGCCUGUGAGGGUUGCUGGAGGUAUCAGAAGUGCGAAUGCUGACAUAAGUAACGAUAAAGCGGGUGAAAAGCCCGCUCGCCGGAAGACCAAGGGUUCCUGUCCAACGUUAAUCGGGGCAGGGUGAGUCGACCCCUAAGGCGAGGCCGAAAGGCGUAGUCGAUGGGAAACGGGUUAAUAUUCCCGUACUUGGUGUUACUGCGAAGGGGGGACGGAGAAGGCUAUGUUGGCCGGGCGACGGUUGUCCCGGUUUAAGCGUGUAGGUGUGUGUUCCAGGUAAAUCCGGUUCACUUUAACACUGAGGCGUGACGACGAGGCACUACGGUGCUGAAGCAACAAAUGCCCUGCUUCCAGGAAAAGCCUCUAAGCAUCAGGUAACAUCAAAUCGUACCCCAAACCGACACAGGUGGUCAGGUAGAGAAUACCAAGGCGCUUGAGAGAACUCGGGUGAAGGAACUAGGCAAAAUGGUGCCGUAACUUCGGGAGAAGGCACGCUGACACGUAGGUGAAGUGAUUUACUCAUGGAGCUGAAGUCAGUCGAAGAUACCAGCUGGCUGCAACUGUUUAUUAAAAACACAGCACUGUGCAAACACGAAAGUGGACGUAUACGGUGUGACGCCUGCCCGGUGCCGGAAGGUUAAUUGAUGGGGUCAGCGCAAGCGAAGCUCCUGAUCGAAGCCCCGGUAAACGGCGGCCGUAACUAUAACGGUCCUAAGGUAGCGAAAUUCCUUGUCGGGUAAGUUCCGACCUGCACGAAUGGCGUAAUGAUGGCCAGGCUGUCUCCACCCGAGACUCAGUGAAAUUGAACUCGCUGUGAAGAUGCAGUGUACCCGCGGCAAGACGGAAAGACCCCGUGAACCUUUACUAUAGCUUGACACUGAACAUUGAGCCUUGAUGUGUAGGAUAGGUGGGAGGCUUUGAAGUGUGGACGCCAGUCUGCAUGGAGCCGACCUUGAAAUACCACCCUUUAAUGUUUGAUGUUCUAACGUGGACCCGUAAUCCGGGUUGCGGACAGUGUCUGGUGGGUAGUUUGACUGGGGCGGUCUCCUCCUAAAGAGUAACGGAGGAGCACGAAGGUUGGCUAAUCCUGGUCGGACAUCAGGAGGUUAGUGCAAUGGCAUAAGCCAGCUUGACUGCGAGCGUGACGGCGCGAGCAGGUGCGAAAGCAGGUCAUAGUGAUCCGGUGGUUCUGAAUGGAAGGGCCAUCGCUCAACGGAUAAAAGGUACUCCGGGGAUAACAGGCUGAUACCGCCCAAGAGUUCAUAUCGACGGCGGUGUUUGGCACCUCGAUGUCGGCUCAUCACAUCCUGGGGCUGAAGUAGGUCCCAAGGGUAUGGCUGUUCGCCAUUUAAAGUGGUACGCGAGCUGGGUUUAGAACGUCGUGAGACAGUUCGGUCCCUAUCUGCCGUGGGCGCUGGAGAACUGAGGGGGGCUGCUCCUAGUACGAGAGGACCGGAGUGGACGCAUCACUGGUGUUCGGGUUGUCAUGCCAAUGGCACUGCCCGGUAGCUAAAUGCGGAAGAGAUAAGUGCUGAAAGCAUCUAAGCACGAAACUUGCCCCGAGAUGAGUUCUCCCUGAGACUUAGAGUCUCCUGAAGGAACGUUGAAGACGACGACGUUGAUAGGCCGGGUGUGUAAGCGCAGCGAUGCGUUGAGCUAACCGGUACUAAUGAACCGUGAGGCUUAACCUU